AAAUUAGUAAAACCUUUUUUUCUUUUGAUGUAGAAUCACUGGACAACCUGUGCAGUCACUGUGGGAGUGCAGACACUGAUGAUCCUCUGUGGAUUGCCUGUGACGGAUGCAACAGGUGGUACCACCAGGGCUGUGUCAACAACCCACCACCUGACACUGAGUAUUGCUGUCCACUGUGCAUAUAGUUUUCAACUGUUGUUAAAAAAAAAAAAACAAGUUUGAAGAAAAUAGUUCGACUUAAACAUUAUUUAAUUUAAGUUCCUUUAAA